rnacentral:rRNA from 1 species
GACGAACGCUGGCGGCGUGCCUAAUACAUGCAAGUAGAACGCUGAAGAGAGGAGCUUACUCUUCUUGGAUGAGUUGCGAACGGGUGAGUAACGCGUAGGUAACCUGCCUUGUAGCGGGGGAUAACUAUUGGAAACGAUAGCUAAUACCGCAUAACACUGGAUGACACAUGUCAUUUAUUUGAAAGGGGCAAUUGCUCCACUACAAGAUGGACCUGCGUUGUAUUAGCUAGUAGGUGAGGUAAUGGCUCACCUAGGCGACGAUACAUAGCCGACCUGAGAGGUUGAUCGGCCACACUGGGACUGAGACACGGCCCAGACUCCUACGGGAGGCAGCAGUAGGGAAGCUUCGGCAAUGGGGGCAACCCUGACCGAGCAACGCCGCGUGAGUGAAGAAGGUUUUCGGAUCGUAAAGCUCUGUUGUAAGUCAAGAACGGGUGUGAGAGUGGAAAGUUCACACUGUGACGGUAGCUUACCAGAAAGGGACGGCUAACUACGUG